rnacentral:rRNA from 1 species
AGAGUUUGAUCCUGGCUCAGGACGAACGCUGGCGGCGUGCCUAAUACAUGCAAGUAGAACGCUGAAGAAAGGAGCUUGCUUCUUUUGGAUGAGUUGCGAACGGGUGAGUAACGCGUAGGUAACCUGCCUUGUAGCUCGGGAUAACUAACGGAAACGUUAGCUAAUACCGGAUGAAGCUUCGUACCGCAUGGUACGAAGAUGAAAGGCGGCACUUGCUGUCACUUACAGAUGGGCCCGCGGCGCAUUAGCUAGUUGGUGGGGUAAAGGCUCACCAAGGCAACGAUGCGUAGCCGACCUGAGAGGGUGAUCGGCCACACUGGGACUGAGACACGGCCCAGACUCCUACGGGAGGCAGCAGUAGGGAAUAUUCCGCAAUGGACGCAAGUCUGACGGAGCGACGCCGCGUGAGUGAUGAAGGUCUUCGGAUCGUAAAACUCUGUUGUUAGGGAAGAACAAGUAUCGGAGUAAUAUGCCGGUACCUUGACGGUACCUAACCAGAAAGCCCCGGCUAACUACGUGCCAGCAGCCGCGGUAAUACGUAGGGGGCAAGCGUUGUCCGGAAUUAUUGGGCGUAAAGGGCGCGCAGGCGGUUAUCUAAGUCUGAUGUGAAAUCUUGUGGCUUAACCACAAGCGGUCAUUGGAAACUGGAUAACUUGAGUGCAGAAGAGGAGAGUGGAAUUCCACGUGUAGCGGUGAAAUGCGUAGAGAUGUGGAGGAACACCAGUGGCGAAGGCGGCUCUCUGGUCUGUAACUGACGCUGAGGCGCGAAAGCGUGGGGAGCGAACAGGAUUAGAUACCCUGGUAGUCCACGCCGUAAACGAUGAGUGCUAGGUGUUAGGGGGUUUCCGCCCCUUAGUGCUGGAGUUAACGCAUUAAGCACUCCGCCUGGGGAGUACGGCCGCAAGGCUGAAACUCAAAAGAAUUGACGGGGGCCCGCACAAGCGGUGGAGCAUGUGGUUUAAUUCGAAGCUACGCGAAAAACCUUACCAGGUCUUGACAUACCAUUGACCGUUCUAGAGAUAGGAUUUUCCCUUCGGGGACAAUGGAUACAGGUGGUGCAUGGUUGUCGUCAGCUCGUGUCGUGAGAUGUUGGGUUAAGUCCCGCAACGAGCGCAACCCCUGUCGUUAGUUGCCAGCAUUCAGUUGGGGACUCUAACGAGACUGCCAGUGACAAACUGGAGGAAGGUGGGGAUGACGUCAAAUCAUCAUGCCCCUUAUGACCUGGGCUACACACGUGCUACAAUGGUUGGUACAAAGAGAAGCGAAGCGGUGACGUGGAGCAAACCUCAUAAAGCCAAUCUCAGUUCGGAUUGUAGGCUGCAACUCGCCUACAUGAAGUUGGAAUCGCUAGUAAUCGCGAAUCAGAAUGUCGCGGUGAAUACGUUCCCGGGUCUUGUACACACCGCCCGUCACACCACGAGAGUUUACAACACCCGAAGUCAGUGGCCUAACCGCAAGGAGGGAGCUGCCUAAGGUGGGGUAGAUGAUUGGGGUGAAGUCGUAACAAGGUA